AUUCUAUAGCUGAAACUACCCAGCCAGAAAUAGCUUCUACUGCCUGCCUCCCUUAUCAGAGUGGGAGUGCGAAGUGAGGAGUCUGGUUGGCAAAUUGCGGGUGGAUCGAUGUCAACCCUCCUGUCGCUCCUCUCCUUUCCACAGCCCAGAGCUAGGGGUCAAACUGGGACGCUCGGAGGGGGCGACAAUCAUGACAGCACUGUGUUCACCAGCUCCCUCUUCAGGAUGGCCAGUCAGCGCUAAGCUAAGUAGUCGGGUGUAGCAGGCUUGACUGGAG
rnacentral:lncRNA from 1 species